rnacentral:rRNA from 1 species
GAAUAUUGCACAAUGGGCGAAAGCCUGAUGCAGCGACGCCGCGUGGGGGAUGAAGGCCUUCGGGUUGUAAACCCCUUUCAGCAGGGAAGAAGCGAAAGUGACGGUACCUGCAGAAGAAGCGCCGGCUAACUACGGGCCAGCAGCCGCGGUAAUACGUAGGGCGCAAGCGUUGUCCGGAAUUAUUGGGCGUAAAGAGCUCGUAGGCGGUUUGUCGCGUCUGCUGUGAAAACCCGAGGUUCAACCUCGGGCCUGCAGUGGGUACGGGCAGACUAGAGUGCGGUAGGGGAGACUGGAAUUCCUGGUGUAGCGGUGGAAUGCGCAGAUAUCAGGAGGAACACCGAUGGCGAAGGCAGGUCUCUGGGCCGCAACUGACGCUGAGGAGCGAAAGCAUGGGGAGCGAACAG